UUUUUCUUCUUCUAACUUGCAAGUCUCAUGGAUUCUGUAUAGAUUGAAUUUAUCCAUUGUCUAUAUUAGAAAACCAAUCUCGCAGAUACAAUCAUUGAUAAUAUAUGGGCAAGUGAGACACACGAGGUAUGAUGGGAUUAGUUCGUAAAUACUUACUUCCGGGAAUAUAUGUCCUCUGUUUAGACAAACAAGCGAGUCAAUCAUCUGAAGAACAAAAUCUCUCAAAAUUACUGGCCGAUGAGAAGUAUUCAUGUCUUUGAUCAGUUUAUAAUCUAUAAAUCAAAAUAUUUAUAAAUUUGCGGAAGAAAAAACAAUUAUAUGAUAGAUGUUGUAGUCUGAAUUCAGUUAAAACUAGACAUGCUGACAGAAGCUACUCCAUGGUGAGAUGUCUCUCUUCCUUAUUUAUGCAUCUUCUCAACUUCCAUCUUGCCAUUCUAAUGGAAAUGUUCUGCGAUGUGAGUGUGAAGGGUGACUCGCAAUAUAUUGAUUCCGGCGUCACUUCAAGAAACAAAAACAUUUGCCACGAUUGAAAGAUAAAGGCUUAUUCAUUUUUAAUAUGCCGCGGAAAGACCAGAUCAUUUCAUUGGACGAUAUUCAGGUUCUGAGCAACCAGAAAUGAAGGGAGUGACCUAGAGGACUUUUAAAACAAUAGUUUCUAGAUCUCUGUGUGGUGUGUGUUUUUUUUUUAAAGUUUAAACAUUAAAAAAUAUUGAAAAACUCAAUAUCUUUCUGGAGGCUCGAUGGCUGAGAGGUAAAGCGCAUGGCUUCUGAACCCGAGGUACCAGGUUCAAAUCCUGAUGAAAGACUGUGCUUUUUACUUUCGGGAUCUUUAGGGCGCUUCUAAGUUAACCCAGCUCUAAUGGGUCCCUGACAUAAGUUGGGGAAAGUAAAGGCGGUUAGUCGUUGUGCGAGCCACAUGACAUUCUCGUAAAGCAUGGAUAGGAACAUCAUCUGCCCCAUAGAUCACAAUGUCUGAAAGAGGAACUUUUUUUUUUAAAUAUCAUUCUAGACCUUAUUUAUAAAUAAGUCUUGAGUUGUUCCGGAUUGUACAAUCUGAAAGUGUGCCUAGAUAGCUAAUUCCUUCAUUGGAGACGUCAUCCUAGAGGGAUAGAUUUGAAGUUAGCGUUGAGUGGUACAAAGUCAGAGCAAGAAGGUUUGACUAACUUAGAAAUCUUGGAACAAGAACAGAGUGAGCAAUUAGACUGAGCACAAAACAAAUGCCAAGAUAAGCCUGCCAGUAGAGGUGGAUGUUGCGAAACUAUGAGUGGCUCAUUGACUUUCAAUGCACAAUGUUACAAGAACUGGGAAAGUAACGAACUGAACAAUUUUAUUCACAAAAUUUCAUAGUCAUUUUAUUUGGUUAAGAAUUAGACAAAACAGAACAAAAAAAGAAUACAUUUUAACCCCCCCCC